UAGGGAAUCUUCGGCAAUGGGGGGAACCCUGACCGAGCAACGCCGCGUGAGUGAAGAAGGUUUUCGGAUCGUAAAGCUCUGUUGUUAAGGAAGAACGAGUGUGAGAAUGGAAAGUUCAUACUGUGACGGUACUUAACCAGAAAGGGACGGCUAACUACGUGCCAGCAGCCGCGGUAAUACGUAGGUCCCGAGCGUUGUCCGGAUUUAUUGGGCGUAAAGCGAGCGCAGGCGGUUAGAUAAGUCUGAAGUUAAAGGCAGUGGCUCAACCAUUGUAGGCUUUAGAAACUGUUUAACUUGAGUGCAGAAGGGGAGCGUGGAAUUCCAUGUGUAGCGGUGAGAUGCGUAGAUAUAUGGAGGAACACCGGUGGCGAAAGCGGCUCUCUGGUCUGUAACUGACGCGGAGGCUCGAAAGCGUGGGGAGCGAACAGG
rnacentral:rRNA from 1 species